UUUUUGACUUUCGCGCCCUUGGCUUGGUAGCAGGUCCACCACCACCCCCAUUCAAAAAUCCAUGCAGAGUUAACUCGUUACCACUAUGCCACUGCAGUUAAAGUUUCUUUCCCAGCUGGACCUCCACUGCGAUGACCUGGUGAAAAUCUUCCAGAAGAGGGGAGGGCACACCGCAAGAAAACUGCAGUCAGUGACAUUUGUGUUCCACCAGCAGGAGAUCAUCAGCGACAUGCCCAUGGCCACCGACUUCAAGUCCUGCUGGCCAGAAAUGUUGGAUAUUGGAGAGAUCCAUGCAGAGUUGACGCGUCACCACUGCCACUGCAGUUAAAGUUUCUUUCCCAGCUGGACCGCCAUUGCGAUGACCUGGUGAAAAUUUUCCAGAAGAGGGGAGAGCAAACCGCAAGAAAACUGCAGUCAUUGGUAAGUAAAGGUGCCCCACUUCCUGUCCUUGAGGUGAACUUGUUAGUUUUCAUCAAUGCAUUUAUACCUGGUAUGACUUGGCAUUUCGAUCCCCAGCUCUUCUCAACACGCACGCACGCACGCACGCAUGCACGCAGGCCUACCAGUAGUUUGGUAAUGUCAUAAUGUGAUGUUAAUGUCAUAUUUCUCCCUUCAUCUGACUGGGGGGUGGGCUGGGGGCAUGUGGAAACAAAGAAUGUUAUCAACCUGAACACCUCAUUUUGCAUUGAUAGGAAAAUGAUUAAGUAAUGAAUGUGUUUUGCUUAUCAAGAUCAUGUUGUUUGACAGACAUUUGUGUUGCACCAGCAGGAGAUCAUCAGCGACAUGCCCAUGGCCACCGACUUCAGGUCCUGCUGGCCAGAAAUGUUGGAUAUUGGAGAGAUCCAUGCAGAUUUGACGCGUUACCACUAUGCCACUGCAGUUAAAGUUUCUUUCCCAGCUGGACCUUCACUGUGAUGACCUGGUGAAAAUCUUCCAGAAGAGGGGAGGGAAAACCGCAAGAAAACUGCAGUCAGUGGAUUUCACUGCAGCUCAGGUGCAGCUCAGCAAACGGCCAUGGGGAUAAAGCUCUAUGACGAUGGACAAUAUGGACGUUCACAUUGUGUGAGAAGGUGUUGGAAGUUCUUGGUGAUCUUGCCUGUGGCUCUGGCUGUAGUGAGGCUUUUUGUUUUGGAAUUAUCUCGCCCAGAAAAAUCUGUGUUUGAAAGAAGUCUGUAGUGAGGCCUCACACACACUUUACUUUAGUGUGACCUUUACCAUCUAGUAACUUGGCCUGCUUCUUGGAGAUCUUGACUGUGUGGCUCUGGCUUUAGUGACUGUUUGGGCUUUUCUUUUCUUUUCUUUUCUUACAUUUUCAGAAUGGAUGUUAGCCACUCAUCAGUUUUUAUCCAUUUCCAAGUAUUCAUAAUGACUGGGAAUAUUACAAUUCAUACAAGGUGGGAAGGUGGCUGUUCACCAUUUUGGAUUUGUUGUAAUGGACCUCUUUGGCGGCAAAACUUACUGUACUUUGAUCAGAUCAGUAAAUAUUAGUUUAUUACUAAGGAAACAUUCAUGAAAAGAUAUAAUUUGUGAAUGGGCGACUGAAAUGAUAUGCUGUAUUUUUAAGUUACCCCAGAAAAUGAUAAUGGUGCUAGAGGUUACAGUAUCUGCCCGAAUUGUCACUGAAAAUUUUGCGUAGUGUGUAGUUAUGCAAGACACUUCACUGCAUAUUGCGGUCUUCAGAUUCAUUUCAAAGAGCAAAUAGUGAAUGUGUUGCCUCUAUUUAAUGUAAUGCGUAAAAUGGAUUGUGAUUAUGAUCUGUGAAUUCAGUCUGUUCUACUCAUGUGUCUGACCUGCACUAAAGGUAUAUCCGAUGUCAUGAAUCAUUUGUUUAAAUAAAAGGAAAUUUGCAGUACA